rnacentral:rRNA from 1 species
AGUGGCGUACGGGUGAGUAACACGUGGAUCAUCUACCUUUUAGUGGGGAAUACCCCUGGGAAACCGGGGAUAAUACCGCAUAAGCUCGCAAGAGGAAAGCCGAAAGGCGCUGAAAGAGGAGUCCGCGGCUGAUUAGCUAGUUGGUGAGGUAACGGCCCACCAAGGCGAAGAUCGGUAGCCGGCCUGAGAGGGCACACGGCCACACUGGCACUGAAACACGGGCCAGACUCCUACGGGAGGCAGCAGUGGGGAAUCUUGCACAAUGGAGGAAACUCUGAUGCAGCGACGCCGCGUGAGCGAUGAAGCCCUUCGGGGUGUAAAGCUCUUUCGACGGGAACGAUAAUGACGGUACCCGAAGAAGAAGCUGCGGCUAACUACGUGCCAGCAGCCGCGGUAAUACGUAGGCAGCAAGCGUUGUUCGGAAUUACUGGGCGUAAAGAGUGCGUAGGCGGUGCUGCAAGUCUGGUGUGAAAUCUCCCGGCUCAACUGGGAGGGUGCGCCGGA